rnacentral:rRNA from 1 species
AACGAACGCUGGCGGCGUGCUUAACACAUGCAAGUCGAACGCGAAAGGGACUUCGGGUCCUGAGUAAAGUGGCGCACGGGUGAGUAACGCGUAGAUAACCUGUCUUCAUGUCUGGAAUAAUACGCCGAAAGGGGUACUAAUACCGGAUAUUCUUGCUUUUCAUAAGUUAUGCAAGCAAAGGUGGCCUCUGCAUAUGCUACUGCAUGAAGAGGGGUCUGCGUACCAUUAGCUAGUAGGUGGGGUAAUGGCCUACCUAGGCGACGAUGGUUAGCGGGUCUGAGAGGAUGAUCCGCCACACUGGCACUGGAACACGGGCCAGACUCCUACGGGAGGCAGCAGUGAGGAAUAUUGCGCAAUGGGGGAAACCCUGACGCAGCGACGCCGCGUGAGUGAAGGAAGGCCUUCGGGUCGUAAAGCUCUGUCAAGAGGAAAGAAGUGUACAAUGGCUAAUACCUGUUGUAUUUGACGGUACCUCUAAAGGAAGCACCGGCUAACUCCGUGCCAGCAGCCGC